rnacentral:misc_RNA from 1 species
AACUUUUGGCAACGGAUCUCUGGUUCUGGCAUCGAUGAAGAACGGAGCGAAAUGCGAUAAGUAAUGCGAAUUGCAGAAUUCCAGUGAGUCAUCGAAUCUUUGAACGCACAUUGCGCCCUUUGGUAUUCCGAAGGGCAUGCCUGUUCGAGCGUCAUUAUCACCCCUCAAGCCCCCGGCUUGGUGUUGGACGGCUUGGUGGAGACCCUUUUGUCGCCCACCCCUCCCAAAGACAAUGACGGCGGCCUCGUUGGACCCCCGGUACACUGAGUUCUUCACGGGACACGUAUCGGACACACGGGUUUACGGGUCACGGUCUGCCUCCCCUCAGGGAGAACUUUUCUAAGGUUGGCCUCGGAUCAGGUAGGGAUACCCGCUGAACUUAAGCAUAUCAAUAAGCGGAGGCU